rnacentral:tRNA from 1 species
GUAGCUCAGUGGUAGAGCACUUGCUUAGCAAACAGGAGGUCCUGGGUUUGAUCCUCAGC